rnacentral:lncRNA from 1 species
GUCCUCCUGUGGUCCUUGCCCGAGGCAUCACCUUUCCUCUGCCCUGGGCUCAGCACUUGCUCAUCCAUCUCCGUAGGGCUCAUGGCUCAGGCUGAGCUGGUGGGUGCCAUGAGCGGUGCUGUGCGUGGUCAGGGUCCUCAGGCGGAGGAGGGUGCGGUUUCCGGCAGAUGCCGGGCAGGGCUGUUUUGCAUUGGAAGCAGAUACUCUGAGGUAGUUCUCUUUGCGAUCACUCAUUUCACCGGUGACCGUGACAUCUGCCUCUGGCUCCAUCUCCAUUCCCACUCUGUGCCUUUGUCUUGCCAGCAUUGCUGUUUUUUGCUCUUAACAAGAUUAGUUAUAUAAGCUCAGGAAAUAAUCGUGUUGCAAUGAAAAUAAACAUCCAAUCUAGUUUUAAGUGGGCUUUAUUGAAAAAGUAAAGGCUUGGUUUGUCUUGUGGACUUUCCCUCCCAGGUCAUCAGAUGCAGUCACUGUGCAUAUGUGCUGGACCCGGUGACCUUGGCAUCAGUGCCCAGGGGCUCGGUGUCUCCACCUCUGACCAGAGUAUCAGUAGCAGCCGUGCUGGGGUGGAGGAAUGGCAGUGCAGCACGGAAGAAGACCGGGAGAGAGAGGAGAACAUGCAGGCCCCUCACAGCCCCGUCCGGGUUGUGGGCUGCAGCUCCUGCUCCCUGUCCUGCGCCUUCUCUGUGUGGCUGCUUCUCUCCCUCCCUCUGUCUUCCUUUGUUGCCCUCAUCUUCCUGGGUCCAGUGCUUCUUCCAGGCAGUGGUUUCAACUGUCCGUGCCCUGCGUCUGGCUCUGUUUCCCCUUCUGCAUCCGCAGGGCCCAGUCCAUGGGAUUCACCUUCCUUUCCAUGUGACGAGCUGGCCUGGAGGAAGGAGAACCAGUUCCAAAAUUACAUGUUCCUUCGAAGCUGCCAGGCAAGUCCCCUGAUGACAGUGCCGGCUCCCUGGGCGGCCCACUGCACCCUGGCUUCUUUACGUCCCUCCGGAGGCGUAGUCUGCUCUGAGCCCUGCCUGCCAAAAGCACCCCAGUUGCCUCCAGCUCCUCCCUGUGGGCGUCCCAUAGCAGAACCACACCCGACACAGUCCGUGUGUUUUCUUGUGUGCCCUGUGUCUCGAG